AAGAAGUCCCUUGAAGAGGAUGUUGGUUAUCACACCAAUGGGGACUUCCGCAAGCUUUUGCUACCCCUUGUGACUGCCUACCGAUAUGAGGGUGAUGAGGUGAACAUUACACUUGCAAAAUCAGAAGCUAAGAUUCUCAAUGAGAAGAUUUCUGAUAAGGCUUACAAUGAUGAAGAUCUCAUCAGGAUCUUGGCUACAAGGAGCAAAGCACAGAUCAAUGCGACUCUGAAUCAAUAUAAGAAUGUAUAUGGGAAUGAUAUUGAUCAGGACUAAGAGGCUGACCCUAAAGAUGAGUACCUCGACCUACUGAGGGCCACAGUUCAGUGCUUAGUCCACCCUGAACAUUAUUUUGAGAAGAUACUUCAUCUGGCAAUUAACAAACAGGGAACAGAUGAAGGGGCUCUUACUAGAGUCGUCACCACAUGGGCCGAGGUCGACUUGAAGGUCAUAAAAGAUGAGUACCAGAGGAACGGUGUUCCUCUGGAUCGUGCCGUUGUCAAGGACACCUCUGGGGACUACGAAAAAAUGCUUCUGGCACUGUUAGGACAUGGGGAUGCUUGAGUUGUUCCCUAUUUCUUGAAGGAUUGAGAGACAAAUAUGUGUUUUAUUUAUCUAGGUUUGCUGUUGCUUGAGUUUGCAGAGUUCUCCAUCCAUGUUUGAUGAUCGUUUUAUUUUCCGUCUUUUGGUUAUGCCGGUUGAAAAACUUAAUCUAUGAGCGCUUCAGUUAUCUCAUAUAUAUUCAAAAUAAUAUCUGAUUUAUAUAUGCAUCUAAAUGGUGGUUGGUUUGUGAUUAGCAACUUGAUGCUUGAGUGUGUGAUGAUCUAAUUCUAAUGCCCCUGAAGCAGAUGAUGUUGCAAUGUAACAACUUAUAUGGGUAGAAACUUUUGGUUUUGAUAGAAAUAAAAAUUUUUCUUUUGCUUCAUUGUUUUGAGUCUCAUGUGCUAAUAAUGCUUGAUUCAAUUGAUUGGAAAACAAAUUUUGUGACCAGAGUAAUGCCAGUACUGCUUGAAACUAGUUCUGAGUCACAAUGAAAGAUACUUUGGUUGGUGGGUGAAAACUGGAUGUGGAAAGGCAGUAUGUGAAAGAGAUCAGUUACUUAUAAUGAUUUAGUAGCUUACUAUAUGAAAGUCUAACUUGGAAUUCUGGAAUUGCCCUCUUUUUUUUUAUUUGUCAGAGGAUUCUUGUAGUCUUACGUAGUUUUCUCAUUUUAUCUCAUUUGUCUUUCUGCAUUACAUGUUCAAUGAAGUCAUCAUUUUUUAAGCAUUGUGAUUGACUGACUUCAUUGUAUAUUCAUGUACACUAGCUUUUGCUACCCCUUGUGACUGCCUACCGAUAUGAGGGUGAUGAGGUGAACAUUACACUUGCAAAAUCAGAAGCUAAGAUUCUCCAUGAGAAGAUUUCUAAUAAGGCUUACAAUGAUGAGGAUCUCAUCAGGAUCUUGGCUACAAGGAGCAAAGCACAGAUCAAUGCGACUCUGAAUCAAUACAAGAAUGUAUAUGGGAAUGAUAUUGAUCAGGUACCCAUUUGGUCUUUGAACGCUAUGUUUGGCCAGAUAUUUUCUGAAAGCUUAUUUUUCCUCUUCUUUAAAACUUUUGGCUCCGGAUCUUCUUCUAAAAUUUAAUCUAUGUAUCUUUUCUGUGGUAAUUGAGGCCAACUGAUUGACCUCAUGGAUUCUUUUUCGCAUUUUCAAUUAAAAUUUUGAUUUCAACAGUUUGUUUUUACUGUUUAUGAUAGAAUAAAAGAAUAAUUGGAAACCAUUUCAAGAAUGAAAUAAGAUUAUUUGGUAAAACAUUUGUGGUCUUGAGGAGGGCUUUCACCACCUGAUAAGCCAUAUCUCUUUUAGGUUUAUUUUUGACUAAUCGCAUUAGUAUCCUAUUUGCAGGACUUAGAGGCUGACCCUAAAGAUGAGUACCUCGACCUACUGAGGGCCACAGUUCAGUGCUUAGUCCGCCCUGAACAUUAUUUUGAGAAGAUACUUCGUCUGGCAAUUAACAAACAGGGAACAGAUGAAGGGGCUCUUACUAGAGUCGUCACCACAAGGGCCGAGGUCGACUUGAAGGUCAUAAAAGAUGAGUACCAGAGGAGGAACAGUGUUCCUCUGGAUCGCGCCGUUGUCAAGGACACCUCUGGGGACUACGAAAAAAUGCUUCUGGCACUUUUAGGACAUGGGGAUGCUUGAGUUGUUCCCUAUUUCUUGAAGGAUUGAGAGGCAAUAUAUGUGUUUUAUUUAUCUAGGUUUGCUGUUGCUUGGAGUUUGCAGUGCUCUCUAUCCAUGUGUGAUGAUCGUUUUAUUUUCAGUCUUUUGGUUAUGCCGGUUGAAAAACAUAAUCUAUGAUCUUAUAAAUAAGAUGGUGACAGCAUUUGCUAUGAAACUGCCACUUUAUAAAGAGUUUUUUUUUUCGUGUUGAAUGGUUGGUAAAGCAGGAUGUUGUUGCUCCAUUAGUUAUGCCAUUUUAAUUGUAAUGCUAGAAAUAUGAGACAUUCACGUGUUCGAAACUAUUACUUCGUGAAUUCCCCGAGCCAAAAAUUUCAAAUGUACAAUUCAAUUAUUCUGAAAGGUGCAAUCGUUUCUACGAGUCUCAGUUGAAGAGACUUCCAAUGUCUUCUGCCAUUUUCCACUUUGCAGUUUUCGAUUCAUUAAAUUGUAGCAAAUUUCUCAGCAGAGUUUGAAACGUUUAAGUUGAAACUAUGAUCCGAUUAUCCAUCAAGAAAGCUAUCUAUGACAGACGAAUUUAAACCUGCAAAGAGUAAAAGAUUAUUCUGAUGUCGUAUUAACUGGAUUCACAUUGAUCGUUGCUAUCAUAGUCCAAUUAUCCAUCAAGAAAGUUCAGACUGCCACCUCAUUUCUACAUUUUCAUAAACAGACAUGUUUAUAACCAGGCUCAUACUCCUUCUCACCACACAAGCCGCAUCUGAAGUAACUCUAUUUCAGAAACGAGAGGAAAGAUAUCCUGCAUCACAUUUACAGGGGGCCCAAAGCAAAAACUGCGGUUCCAACCUAAUAAAAUAUCAUACAUUCGAAGUUUCAAGACAACAACAUAGACAACAGUGUAUUACAUACACGAGUCAUAAUAAACAACUGGAAGAAAGACACAUUCAGUUUACAAUCUUUUUUAACUCAUGGAGAUCCAUCCACAAAAGCCCCGAAUUGCAAAAUUUCUCAGUAAUGGGACAUCCGCAGCAUCUUCUGAUGGCUUGCUAUCUUACAUCUGACGGCCCAAGAUAGAUUAAGACUUCUUAUUAGUGGUGAACAGAGUAGCAACUUUAGGAGAACAACAACAUUUCUUGCCACAGACAAAUAUACAUCACUUCUUCGAGAUGUUACGCGAGAAGAUCCUCUUGCAAUAAGGGCUGGUGCGUAAAUUAGUAUGUCGUCUAGCGGCUUCAACGAGCGAAGCAUGAAGAGGACCCUGCUUCAGACAAAUGAAAACAAAACAAAGAGGGACUGCUCAGCAAUUUAAAACAAUACUAUCAAGGCAGAAAAGUAAACCAGAGGAUCUCUCUCUCCAAACCUUGGUCACUGACAAAGCACACUGAAUUACAUAAUUGGCGAAUGGAUCUUGCAACAACUGUUCGAAGUGAGGCACAGAAAGCAAUUCAUGGACAAUUUGAGAUCGACUUUCUCCAAAAUGCUUGAGGCAUUUUUCAACCACGUGGCUGCUGAAUUUCUGUGUUGAGAGAUGCACAUAAUGUCCUUUGAACUGCGACAGCAAGUUGGCACUGACAGAAGGGAUCUUUAGCUCUAUUAUAUAUUGUACAACAUAAUUUCUGUGACAUAAAAACAAAAGAGGUCCUGAGUCAGAGACAAAAGAUAAAAUUAUGGUACAGAUACCUGUUAGAACCUAUCACUUCUAAGACUAAAUUAUGAAUCAGACAAGAUGAUUUAACUUAGGACAUGUAAAUGAAUCAAUCGAGAUGAUAUAGGAUGUCCUACAAGCCCAAGAGGAAGUCAAUAAAGGAGAAAUUAAGAUGCCACAAAUGCUAGGGCCAGAAAGGAGAAGAGAAAUGAAUAAGGAAAGUUAACAAAAUAUACCAAACCAUAAAAUGCACCAUUCAGUCAAACUUAUUCUGAAUUUUCAAAUAUACUUAAGAAUCAGAUGCCCAUUUUUUCACCAACAUAGCAAGGAUAAUGAUCAUGCUUCAUUAAUUUAGGGUGAUGAUAUGAAGAUAAAAAUGGAACACCAAGACUGUGAGCAAAAGGCAAAAAUAUAAUUUGUCUUUCAAUUGGAAUGGCAUAAUACCAUCAUGAGACCUCAAACAGUCACUAUGUUUAGGGAAGCCAUAAUAAGCAUACAAAUGUUAACAUGAUAGUACUGCCUAAAUUCUCAUCAUGAAAAGUUUCACUCUUACAAACAAAAACAAAAACAAAAACAAAAAAUAUUGAGAAGGAAAGGCCAUGCUCUGAAGAAAUUCUUGGUGUAAACACGAAAUGAGAGUGAGCUACUCAUCCAUCAGACACCCUUCUAACAGUGAGUCCAUGAAAAGAAAGAAAGUAUUCUAGAUGAUAAUAAAGUCUGUCAAAGUUGAGGUAGCAAAUAUAACAAAAACGGAUGGGACUUCGUUACAGGCUACCUUUAAUAACCACGGCAAUAUGCUGAUUAGUGAAACAUUCAUCAAUAAGAGUUUUAUGAUGCAAAAAACUGAAAAUUAACUAAAACUACGCUUUGGAACUCAUAUGUACUCUACAUGAAACGAUGGGGUGCCCUUCCUACAAAAUAUAGAAGGGUAGAGACCGCCAAAAGUUGUCAUAAAAAAAGAAGGAUCUAUUUUUUAAAAUUUAACUGUCCCUGAUUUUUCCAUUAGGAAUCAAAACAUACUUAUUUAAAUGACAACUAUUUGGUGGAAUAAAAAGAUUUAUAUUUUUUUAUUAAGAAUAGCCUCUUCAAUUAAGCUAAGCUUUAAUUAAAACAAUGAGGUGAGUCAAAGAAAACAUCGAGGACCAGAACAAUGUGAUUAAUCAAAGAAGUAGUUAUCCCAGGGUAAGAAAACAUUACUUUGUAUUACAAAUCCUAUCAAGAGUUUGAGAGUAAAGAAGAAUUAGUGAACAUGAGUGAUUACCCAAAAGGAUCUUGAGCAAGGUGACGCCCAUUCUUGGAAAUUUCAGUGAUCAACUUAUCCCGAUGUCUCCCAAUGGAAUGAGCAAUGCAUCGUUGCAAUACACAACAGCCAUGCUGAUGAGUAGCUAUGUCAACGCAAAACUUUGCAGCAGCAUCAAAAAUAAACUGCAACACACAAUGACAGGUUAUUAAAAAGAUUAAAACAGGUUUCAAAUAUUUGUUGGCAAAUUAUUGAAGGGCCUGCAGAUAUAUUUUAAUUAAAAAUAUUUGCCCAGACAAAAUCUACACUGGUUUAAUAAAUUGCUUAAAGCAGAAAUUAUUCCCAACAUUUUUGAGAGAAUGAUACAUGCUACUUUCAUAUAUAUUCUGGGAACAUAAAUUCUUUGGUCAAGUUUAAGUUCAUCAAUUACUGAGCUGGAUCUAAGACAAAUAUCAUCAGCAUCAGAUUAGAUUUGAAAUGGAAUCUAGUCGUCACAAAUUUGCCUAGCUGCCAUUCUAAAUACAAUUAGAAACUCCACAUGAUGAGGCAAUCUCCAAGAAAUUAUGAGUUGGUCAAGCAUUAGUUUCUCUUCCAUGGCCUACAACUGCAUGUAUGGUCUCAUACACACAAGUUUAUAUCUGCUUCAUUCCACUUGGUACAAGCUAUAUCUCCAUGCACGUGUGCAUCUAUCUAUUCACCUAGAGACAAGCACCAAUUGAUGACCAGAACUUGCUGGUGCUAUUUUAAAGUCACCCUCAUACCAAAAGCCAUCUAUCGUACAAAGUGGCAGGAGAGAUCUGCUAAUCAAACGAAAGAUAAUCAUUACCUCUAAGGUUCCAGUUUAAGAUGAUGCUAAUUCACUAACAAUUUGCACUCUAAGCAAAGUUGCAGAUUAGAAUAAUUCUUGAUUCCCAGAUUAUUAACUUGGACAACAUUUGACCAAUCCUCUUUAUGAUUUUCCAUUCUGCGCUGACCCAGUGAUAAUCAUAAAUGUGUUGGUUCAAUAUUUAGAAAACUUCAAAGUACCAAGAUAGGUUGUCAAACCGAGAUAUAUUCCUAACAUUAAUAUAAUGGCAACAGGCUCAAAAUGUCAACAGAACACAAAAAACCAUGAUAUAUUGGAAUUGGAUGGAGGGUAAACUUGAAAGAACAUGACAAGCUAAAAGACAUAAACUAAUAAAGGAGGUUGAUAGUCAUAAAUUUCAACACAGAGGCAUGAAAUAAUAUGAUCAUCUCUAAAAUUGAAUUGGCAUUAAUUUAGAAAGAAAUAUUUGUAAUUUUGGUCCAUUGAUUAGAAACCAUGACUGGAAAACUUCCUGAAGUACCAGGCUAAGGUCAAACCAUUCAAGGAACGGAAACUGCACUUAAUACUCUGGAAACCACUGAUAGAGAGUGACAUUAUAUGACUUGAAAGUGAAGUAAACAUUUCCGUAAAGAUCAGUUGAUUCCUAGCUAGUGAUCAAAUAAGUUCCUUGUGCCUGGCCAAUGUAAAGCAGGAUUUCUGUUGCUGACCGAGUAUACAUAUGAGAUUAACCUGUCGUCAGUUGAUUGGCUUUUAAUUGACAGUCAUAGGCAUGUUACAAUAAUUAUAUAAAGGAUGGUUUGAUUACCCUUAAAUAACCAUUUCGCUUAUGCCUCCAAUGCAGGCAUGAAGCAGAAUGGUGAAAAGAUCAAUAUAGGCCACCAAGAUACUAGUUCUAUGCUCUGAGUGACACUGAUAUGAUCUAAUGCAAAUGCAUAAGAUCCAUAUCACAAAUUGAUGUAGGAAGACGUCAAUGAGAAUGACCACCCAAAUUCUAGAGUCUUUUUUUAAGAAACAGCAUACCAAAAUAUCAAAUGCUAUAGAUAAGGAGAUUAAAUAACAUUUGAUCUUAAGAAAUUAACAUAACUCUCAUUUUACUAAAGAAAUGUAGAGAAAAAACUAUACCUCAUUAUCUUCAUUGCUAAGGCAUUGCAAGCAGCGUUGUAAAACAUGAUUGCCAUUCAAAUCCUUAAUAAGAUCAAGAAAGCCAGGUUUGAGUGCUGCUUUGACCAGCGAAAUCUGCUGCCUAGUUUUUAGAGUCUCAAUCAACUUCUGCACCACCCGUGUGCUGGUAAUCAUAACACCAAAUCACCAAUUUAUUUGGAAAGAACCAAAAAAUUGCAAGAACAGUCAUUUGAAAAUUAUCAAUGAGCAGUGCAGCUAUUAAUUCAUGUACAAACAAUUUACCCAUAUGUGUUUAAGCAAACUCUGACAAGCUGUCCUGGUUCUUCAGUUACCAUUAGCAGAAUCCGCGUCAUUUGUUCUUCAGUGCACACAUUGAGCAACUUCUGCACAAGGUAAUUGCCAAACUGCUCCAUCAUAAGCUCAACAAUAUGAUCAACGACCUCGUCAAAUAUAAUUUGUAAAUCUAGAAAGGUUCCCUCAUCAAACACCCUUUGUAAGAACCGACAACCAUUUUGAUCCUUUGCCAUCGAGUAUAUAUAACCGCGGACAUCAGCCAAAGAACUGGAACUUGAUAGCAAAUGCAAUGGACAACGAAUAUCCAUUAAGCUCUGACCAUUAUCACAAAUUACUCCAUCAUAAGGACAACCAUCAUGUUUACAAAUUUUCACCGGUUGGUUUCUUGUUACAAUCUCAUUGAGAUUGUUCUGCUUGUAACCCUUCAAUGAAUCACGUCCUUUGCUGGCAGCUUGAUUAAUACUUCUUCCUUGUAUGAUGAAACUAUCUUCACAACCAAAACCCUCUAUAGCACCAGCACCGUUGACAGGCAUGAAAGAUUCUGAAACCCUGUUGUUUGUCAUUGCAUUAGUCCUCCCUUUCAACAUUGAAUGAUUAUACAACAGAGUGUCCAAAUCUAAAUCAGACUCAGUUUGCACCAGCUGACUGGAAAACAAAUGAUUCAUGACACCAAUAUCUCGGUUAGAAUCCAAUCCAAGUUGCUGUGCUCCAACGAAAGCAUCAUUAACAUAAGACCUACUAAUUCUAGAUGGAUUUUGUAACCAAGUACCCGCAUUACUCCAGCUCCUCCCCUGUUCCAUUCUCUGCUGAAGGUACUGAUGCCUUAAACUACUAUAACUUGGACCGAAACGAAAAUCAUUAGAAUGAUCGAGACAAAGACCAAAAUUAGACUCCUUCAAGUCACCCUCACCGUACUGCCCACCAAAAGCAGUCAAUAAAGACUUCCUUUCAUCAUCAAAACUCUUAGAAACUGCAGUAUGAGAGGAACUUAAUCCUUGAUAAUCGGAAACAACGUUGUUAAGACCAUCAAAUACCCUAUAUUUCUCGACAUUAUAAGGUACACCAACGCUCCCUCCCAAAGAAGCAUCACUAGUAAAACCAAAGCGAACCCCAAGAGGGUCCACGAUAUCAAGCCUCUUCAAUUUAGCACUAUGAUCCAAGUGCUCCUCUCCAACUCCUCCAAUAUUCAUUCUGUAAAGAUUCUCACACAAACCCGUUUCAUAGUCCAAAGCGUCAUUAACAUUCCCCCUGUGAAAACAAGAAUCAGUUGAUUUGGCAUCCCACAACAUAUCAUUAAAACAAUCAGUGGCAGCACCGCCACGUGCCUUAUACUUGUUAGCAUUCUCAACACUGUCAUUAUAGAGAACAUUGUUUGGUUUGGAAAAAGGAGAAGCAUCAUCCUCAGAGAAGCAACAAAACCCAGUGUUAGAAAAACAAGAACUUGAAGGAGAAGAGUGCUCUGUUGUAGAUUGCAGAGACACUCUACUAAAAGGUGACCCACCCACAAGAUUAUGAUGUUGAUGUUGAUGUUGAUGAUGAGCAAAACUCAGAGAUUGAUUUUGAGUUAUCUCAUUCAACAUCCUCCCAAGCUCAUCCUCCUCUCUUCUCAUCCUUUCUUUUAUCACUCUCUUUUCCUCCUUUUCGGCUUGCUUAUCCAUCGUCUCAACAACAACAACAGCAGCAGCAAUACUAUUACCACGUUACUAAAUAUGAAACGCAAAAACACACACGAAACAACGUCAGAAAGCAACCAAAACACCUACAUACGAAGAGGAUAUUUUAUAUUUUGGCUUUCGUUUUUUUUUUUUUUUUUUCCUUUUCCCCCCUCUCUUUUCUGUUUUGAGUACGCAAAUGAGAGAGUGAGAGAAAUGUUUUUUUUUUUAUUUUUUUUUCUGGUUUGAUACAGACGGUUAUACAAAAGUGUAUGCGCCGUACGGGCGGCUGUCGCUCGCCAUGAAAAUGAAGUCGAGUGUGCACACACCACCUUGCGCUGAAUAAAAAGCAGAGAGCGAGAAUGAGAGGGGAUCUGACUAGGAAAUUUCUUUUAUAUAUUAUAUUCUUUAAAAUAUAUAUAUAUAUAUAUAUAUAAACUGAGAUUUAAAUAUAAUUAUUUUGUUAAUUAACUAGUUUAAUUUUGAUCUUGUUAGUUAUAAGUAUCUUUUAAGCUAAACUGAAUCCUAACCUCUCUGCUCGAUUUUCUCUUGAUAUUUUUGACCGGCACCAAUCGAGAUCGGGAUCUUUAACAUUCUGAAACCCACGCCAAUGGAAAUCAAAUGAAAAAUCGUUUUGAGUGUUGAUCGAUCAGACGGUUAGGAUUGUAUUGUUUACACUGAAGCCGGACUCAGCUGAUAAAUAAAUAAAUCUCGCAAUGCAAGCCGUUUCUCUGUUGUAUAAUCCUAUUUCAAUCCACAUCUACCGUCACUUCCAAUUACGUAACCUAAAUAAAUCUCGGGCACUGAUGACUCAUGAUUCAUGAGUCAUGAGUCAAACAAAUGGGCAAUGAUACAGAAAUGGUCGAGUACCACAUUGCCACUUGGCCGCUGGUUUCUUGUCACCCAAGACAUCUGGAAGAGAAUUUCAUUCAACUUUGCCCUCGCGAACCUUUUUAUGACAAUUUGAAGAGCCAAUAGGAUUUGUACCAAAGCAAAUAGAGGACCGAACCAAUUGAAAUAAGUCGUGCGAAAGGCUACACAAUUUUUCCAAUUAUAGCUAAGCAAAUUAAUGUUCCAACUUUGUCCUUUGUCCACCGAAGAAAGGAACUGGAAUGAUGAUGGCUUUCCAACUCAAUUUUUUUUUAUAUAAAGUAAACGGGGAACCAGUCGUCGAUCAUAUUGGUAUAAUGGUGAGGGAGGGAGGGAAUGAAUAUUUUGCAUAUUAAUUAAUAAUUUGACAGGGAAAGCUAACUUAGCUCUUGAAAAUUCGAAAUUAAUUCCUCGGCGGAAAAAACCACUUGGGCUAAGCCCAAGUGGCCAGAGUCACUCCCUCACAAAUGUGAGGGAAGUGGUUCGAGCCUCCGCAGACGCAUUGUAGGGGUUUGAUUUCAAUUUCUUUCCUUAGAGCCUCAGAGCUUGAGUGAAGACAGUCUUUCUCCCAGAAUGGGAGUUGACGUCCCUCGAAUAUUUGAGAGGGUUAAAAAUCUGAGCGGUACCAUAUCAGAAUUGAUGUAAACGAGUCUCAGUAUAUAUAUGAUUGUAAAUGUCAUCAUGAGCAAUAGUUCUCGUUCAAAAAAAAAAAAUUCCUAGGCGGAAAAGCAAAAAGCCCCCAAAUAAUAUAAUAAACUAAAAUGGUCGCAAUUCAGUAGUAAUUCACCAUAUAACUUCUCAGAGAAGGUAAUCAAUCAUGAGACCGGGAUUCUGUUGCGAGUCCCUUUCUUCCCCUUUUUAGUGUUUGACUAGUGACAUGCAGGUAUACUUUAUUUAAAGAAUUAAGAAGGAAAAAAAAAGACCGCGUUUUAUAUUUAUGAUGCAAUGGAGAGCAAACAAGCCUUCCUUUGAAAGUUCCCAGCCGAUGCGGAUUCGGCGAAUUUGCUUGCUAUUCACGUCAAGUGAAGGGGCUAAUAAAAAAAAAUCCUGCUGUAUUUUUUUUUUAUAAAUAUUUUUGAAGGAAACUUUAAGAAAGAAAGAAAAAAAUAAAAAAAAAAGAUAAUUACCGCUGGCCGUUACAUGAUAAUGGCGGAUAGGCGAUAGCUGUAGACGACAAGCAGUGGUGAAAAAUUUACAUUCAAGUCCUUGUCACUCGGCAAUACUGCAGUAGCACGCACAAAACAAAACCAUAGCCUAUAUAUAUGAAAUAUGUACAAUAGCUGUCCUGUCUAGGUGGCUGCUGCAAGCACGCAAGUUUGUUACAUCGUUAAAAAUUUACAGCCAUGGUCGAGCCCCGAGCUAAAAUAACUUCUCUCUAUUCAGCAAUUACGAUUCAAGUUUAAAGCCAUUAAAGGAUUAACUAAAUAAUAAGCUUACUUUUUUCUUCUUUUUCGUAUAUUCGGGCCUAAUGCAAAGUCUUUUACUUCUUGGCCAAUUUGAGAUUGUUUUUGAGAGCUUAAAGGUGACUUUAAAGUUAAAAACUAAUUUUAGUAUUUAGUAAUUUUUUUGAAAAAUCACUUUUGGUAAAAUCAGUUAUUCUUUAGUAAAUUUUGAAAAGUAGGAAAGGAAUUUCUUUUCGAAAUCUGAUUUUAAGAAUUAAUUUUACACUGAUGAUUACAGUUCCAUGUAUAUUUCCACAUAUUAUAUAAAAAUCCAAAAUUAUCCUUAUUCAAUUAUGAAAUUAAAUGAAGAAAUUUAAAGAGAUUAAUAUUGUUACCAAUAAUAUUGAGAUGACAAAAAAAAUUAAUUAUUAUUAUUUUAAUUAUCAAUUAUUAUAUAUAAACAAUAAAUUUUUUUUAUAUGUUUAUAAAUGUGUAGGUAAACUUUUAUUUAAUAUUGUAUCUAUUUCAAUCAUUUGUAUUUUUAUAGCAAUUUAACAAUAAGAUUUAUAAAAUGUAUACCACUGCUUUUUAGAACUUAAAAAAUUUUGAAAAUAAAUUUUACUAAACACUUAAUUGAUUUUCUUCAUAACUAAAUAUUUCUAUAGUACACCUGACAUCAAUUGUUUUAAAAGUUACAACAUUACUAAAUUAGCCAUUUAUCUCGAGCAAAGACAUAAGUUACAUGGGCUUAAACCAUGGGUGGAAUCAUGCCAAAAAUAAUAAGAGCACCAUAAUUUAAUUUUCCUUUACCUUUAUGUGCAUUGAAACAUAUAUUUUCAACAAUUAAUAUCAUAAUAUGCAAUACUUGAUUUUAAAAGUUUAAAAAAAUAAUAUUUUAAUCCGGAGAGAUCCCUUAACUUAAAUUCUUUACUUAGAACUAUGUCUAAAUUGUGUUGUUUAUUGGAAUCUACUUAAUUUAAUGAUAAGGACUUGAAAAAUAAUGUUUAUAUCUUCGUUCAUCUAUCAUUAGAAUCCACACAUAUUUAAUAAGGUUAGGUUUUUUUUUAUUUAAAAUUUUGAUACAAAUCUUAAGCUAUUGAUUUCAAUAAUUCAACGAUAGAUAUUAAAACUUAAAGUAUCAUUUAGUGAUGGUUAUUCAUCCACCAUUUGAUUGCUUGAAAUCAAUACCUCAAAAUUUAUAUCAAAAUUUCAAGUUAAAAUAACCCCACUCUAUUUAAUAUUAUCAACUCAUUUAUCACCACCAAAUUUUAUGAGUUCAAUGGUUUAAAAAUUGUAUUUCCGAAGUUUAAAAAAAAUUAAAUUGAUUUAUCCCUUCCCGAGGGAUAGUUAGGAUUACUUUUAACUUGGCCUCUAUAUACAUUUUUUUUAAUUUCUAUUAGCUUGAAUUGAAACACAAAUUUUCUGUGAUGGUUAUCAUAUACAAAUUGAAUAGGGGAUAAAUAAAGAGAAAAAUAGUAUUUGAUGUUACUAACUCAUAUAUUACAUAACAACUAAAAAGAAAAUGAAACAAUAAAGCUACGUCCAUCACCAAGAGAACUACAUCUAAAAUAAUAUUCGGAUAGUUGAUUAUGCAAUGAGUUACUUCAAAAAUUGUGAUUCUACUUGGUAGUGUUGCCAGAUCAGGAUUCUCUCAUGAUCUGAUCAUGUUCUGACCAAACUAAUUAAUUGUUGAUUGGUUGUUAAUAAAUAAAAAAAAAUAAAGAAGUUAAAUCUUACCCAUACACUACCACUAAAAGACACAUGGCAAAAGAUUUUAAAAAAAUCAGUAUAGCUCAGAUCAGGAGAGGAUCAUGUUCCAGUGUUGCCAUCACAUGUCAGAUUUAUAAUAAAUGUUGGGACAUUUAAUAUUACUUUAAUGAUAAUAAUAUAUUAAAAUUUAUGAAAGUUCACAAUUCACUAUAUGGAUAACACAUUGUUUAAGAUAAAAAAUUUGUGAUAAAAUUUAAGACAUCUAACUAUAAAUCUCAAAUAAAAUAUCAUUUGCUUAAAUAACAUAUCACAUGCUCUUAAAAAAUGACACAAAAAAUAUAAGAAAAAUGUGUCUAAGCAUAAUUAUAAUUUUAGGCUUCAAUCUUCAGUUCUUCACACAGUAAGCAGACAGAUGAAAUCAGAGAGAGGUCACGUAAAAGGAGAGGGUUGUUUGACCGAGACAGAGAGGCACCUAUUGUAGAGAAGUUGAUUUUGAAAAUUGAAAGAGAUGGUUCUAGUAUAAAGGUCGUUUUAAUAACAAAAACAAAUUAACGAGGAGAAUUAUAUAUACUAGAGUAUUAGAGUAUCUUGUAGUGUGUGUAUAGUCCUUCUCUAGUAAAAAUAUUAUUAAAAUACAAAAUUUAAUAUAUUAAAAACUGUAUUUUUUGUUUGUUGGUGAAUUAAAAUCUGAUUUUUUUUUUUUGGUUUUUUAAUGCCCUUACAUAUGGAGAGUAAUUAUGUAAACUAGUAACCAUUGGAUUGAAUGACAUAGAUGGCUAAAAAUUUAUGCUAAAAUUUUUUAAUUCAAUGUUGAAGUUAACAAACUAAUUUGAAUUCUAAUUGUACGUGUAACUCAUUUAUUAAGUAAUGAAUGUCGAUAACAUGUUAGAUUAAUAUUCUAUUAUCGGAUAAUUAAAUGACACAUCUAUUAAAACUUAAAUUUAGACUCAAAUGCUAACAUAAAAUGUAAUUUAUAAAUUACAAGUUAAUAUCCGAAUUAAAAAACAUGACUUCUGAUUUUUAUAAAUUAAAAUGUGAAGUGGUAAAGUGUGACAUGACAAUUGCAUUUGUAACUGCUGCACCAAUACGCUGUAGUUAUUUUGUAGAAGAACCUUGAAGACUUUAAACAUCCCCUUCUGCAUGGGCCGACAAGACCGGGCCAUUCAUUGGUUUGGAAAGGUUCGGAAACAUGCUGAAAAUAAAACGUAUCGAGCGACUUUGACUUGCACAUUUAACGUGGAUACACGUUAAAGCUGAACAAAUUUGGAACUUGAAAAAAGUCUAGAAUCAUAAUGUAUCACUAAUAAAUAAAAUUGGACAUGGUAAGCAGGCGACAGAUUUCACUAGAACAAGCACUGAAAAGCACAAGAAUAUGGACAAACAAACCGAAUUAGGAAGAAAGUCCAUAGCUCAGGCAACAUGUUAAAAACCCUAAAUAGAACAAGAUUCCCAAAACCCACAAUGGACGGUCAAAUAAUAUAAUCACACACCCUUACUACGAUGAAUAACACAACACCAGACAGGGUAGAUAAAAUAACUCAGUUAGACCUAACAAGUUAAACCAAGGCAAUGCUGCUCUCGCCGCCUGGAGGCUUGCGUACUCCGCCCAGAUAGUCUCGAGACUCUACCUUACCAUCAGCAAAAAUGUUACUGCCACUCAUCUCCCGUAGUUUUGCUACACUAAGUGGCUUCUCGGCAGAUGAUGGAGGAACAUCACCCUUGAAUAUGUCAUUUCCUGAUAGCUCAGAAAAUUUCUUAUCGUAAAUUUUCUUUGAUGUCUUCAUCACAGGUUCCUCAGUUGAACUUAUGCUGCUCUGGUCUCCAGCAGGCUACAAAGUUAAAUCCAGGGUCAAAUGCAGUUAGAUACUUGAAUUCCAUUAAAAUAAACGCACAGAGCCAAAAAAUAGACAUAGAUAAUAAUAAAGAAGCAGAGAAUCAAAGAACUGGAAAAACGGCAUGAAAAGCAAGCAUAUAUUGCAGUUGGAACUGAAAAGGGCAAAACCACAAGUCCAUGUGCAAUUUGUGCCACAGAUACUUCAACAACAAAGGUUAAGGCAAAGAAUAUAAUCAAUUAAAACAUCCUAGCAGACAAAAUUACUACUGGGCACUCAAUGCAAUCUUCUUAACCCCUCCAAAAGAAAACACAAUGUUAUGAAUGGCUUAAUGGAGCCUAAAUAUGGCAUAACUUCAAUUUUUUUUUAGGAAUAAAUCUAGAAGUUUUUUUAUUCUUUUCGUCUUUUAUAAGAAAAUAUAAACCAAGAAGUUGUUCAAUCAAUGUACUUGGCUCAUGCAUGAUCUCCUAUGCAACCUCUCAAUUUAAUCCUAAAAUUUCCACGGCAAGGGAAGGAGGGGCAGGGCAAGGGGAACUGAGAAGGAGAACAAAGAAAUAUGUAUAUGUAUCCAAACAUCACUCACAGUAAGGACUCCGACAGAUGUUUGUACAUCUUGUGGAGCAGAGUCUCCCAAGUUGAAGUUUUCCUUCAAUGCCAAGGCACGCACUGCUGGCCGUGGUAAAAUUUCUGGAGGGGGUGCAAAGAUAUCAUGUCCGCUAAGCUCCUUGCUCUUAGCAUCAGAAAUCUGCUUCUUCAACUUUGCCUCUGACUCACUUUCCAGUGUCCCACUAAGCUCACGCUGCUUAGCCACCUCAGGUAGAGUAGUAGGUUUUUUGGGUGAAAUGCUAUCUUCCUCACCAAACGAGAUAUGACUGAUUCCAGCAAUUGCUUGCUAACAAUUCCAAGCAUCACCAUAGAAAAUAGUCAGUUUAAGCCGACAGAAAUUCUUCAAAUGCAAGAAUUAAGAUACCUGAUACAUCCGUAGUCCCGUUUUGUUAUUUGGAGUAGGAUUUGCACUACCAGAUUCUGAUUCAUCAUUUUCCGCACCAGCUGCAAAAAUGCCACUACCAGUCAUCUCCUUCAUUUUAUACCCUGAACAAGGUUUCCUGCAAAGUAGAACAUCAAUGGUUUUAGUCUUAGGUCGUUUAAUACUCUCAUAAAAACAGAACCAAAUAUAGAGAGAUAAAAAGUUUAUUUCACUUAAAUAAUAAAAUACAGAACUUUAUAUUAACAGAGCCAUCUAAUUCAGUUAUUUGCACCAAAGUUGCUGGAUCGAGCUGAAACUGAUAUUUAAGGACACACUAACCCCCCUCCCCAAAAAAAAAGAAGCAUUUAUGGAAAACAGAAACAAGUUUAUGAGCAUUCCAUCUCAUUUUUGCUAAACAAUCGACUAUCACUUCUCCGUGCCUUGAUGUUUUAAGCUUUUAAAUGGCCAGCCAUACAAUUGCAAACACUAAAUUGGAACUAUCUGACAAAUUGGUAAAAAAUUGAUACGUAGUUGUAUUGGUUUCUUGUUUCCUGAUUGAUAAAUGCCAUUUUGGACUACUUAGAAAACAUACAUUUCUAGUCCAUAAGUGAAUCUUCCCUAGUGAAAAUUCUGUCUAAUACUGAUUUUCAUCAAACCUACUAAUAUUAACGAGGAUACCACAGCCAGAUCUCCUUUGAUAGAUCUAAAAUCAACAGGAUUAAUCAAGCUAAAUCUAAUUAGUAAUGCUUUUUCAUCAUAAAUUGAAACAUCUAAAAGAUUAUAAGUUUCAUGCAAAUUUAAUAAGGAGUAUAUAUAUAAUCAUAAGUUCACAAGCAAUAUUCAAAGUCAAAUCCAAGUAAAAAUCGAAAGACCGUUGCAGAAAAAGACAAGUAAAACAUUAAUGGAAACCAAAAUCCAUGACGACUACAGACAAAGGACAGAACAAACAAAACAAAUGCGUGUAUAUUUCAGCAAAACAAAACAACACAAAACAAAACAAAUUUUAGGACCAUCUAUACGCAUUUAUUAUCCAUUAAAAAAAUUAAAAGUAAAUAAAUAAAACUAAAUUUGGAAUGAAUAGCAGAUCUCACCUUCUGUUUAAACUCUCAACUUCCUCAUCCGUCACCUGACCCCCAAAAACCACUUUACUGAUCCCAUCCGACGGCUACAGUUGCACCACGUCAACCAAAGUCGUAAAAAAUAAGCAGACGAAGUUGUAAAAAAGCAACAAAAUCAAAAAAGAAAAUGAGCUUUACUUGUCCGCGUACGGAGGAGCGCGUGGAGGAGGCCUGAGCAGGGGAAUCAGACGGUGGAGUUUCGGACCAAACGAGCAGAUCUGCUGUUGAUGUGUGCGGUUUCCUCACCGGAGUGCUUCUCUCCAUUUCAAUAAUCAAAUUACUUAUCCAAAAAAUAGUACAAAGAGCCGCUCUUCUUCAACAAGUUUUCUGUACAGCACACUGUGUCUGUGGACUGUGGCUCUGUUUUAGGCCGAAGAGAAGGAGAGAAAAAAAUGAAGGAUGGAUUGAAAUGACGAAAGUGUCCUCGUGAUCUGGAACUUUCUUGCUUUAAAGUUUAGCUUUUGGGAGUGAUGAUGAGUGAGAAGAGAGCUUAUUUAGCUUCAGCCUUGGAUCAUAGAAUUAAGGAGUAGCUGCUACUACAACUCUCUUUUUUUUUUUUUUUUGUUGUUCUGUUUUUAAAGCAAAGAAAGAGAAAAUUUUGAAAUAUUAUUAUAACCGUCGAGACUCUCACUCCACUGACACUUCGAAACUUAAUUUCAAGUUUCUCUCUCCACUACAGAAUUUGAAUCUUGUACCGCCCUCAAUUGAUUUCUGAUCUGAUUGUUUCUGUGCCACGCAAUCCACCGGCAAGUGCCCGUUGCCUUGGACGAUUAACCGGCUGGUCCCUAUGAAAUUACCCAAAUAACCCUGAUAAUUGAUUUUGCAUUGUUUAGCUCAUUUAUCCUCCGCGUCGAUGACUUUAGAUAUCCAAUUUUUGUCAUUUUAUUUCCCGUUAGGCUAAUCUCUAAUUCAACUAGAUAUUUAGACGCCAACUUGAUGCGUUUUGUUUCGUGUGAACUUGAUUUUAGUAAUUUUACGCGUAACAUUGUGCAAAUUGCAUAAGAUAACUCUCGUGAUUUAAGGUGACCAAAGCUAAAAUAAGUAUUAUUUCUUCUUUUUUUUCUGAGACCCAUGUUUUGAUAGAGAUGCUCUCCUCAUUGCUACUCCAAGAAACUGCAUCAUCUUCUUUUUCAUACCCAUGUGAGUAAAGCAAUCAAAUUGUUGGCUCUGAUGCCAUUUUCCUCUAGAAACAACAUCAUUUUUUUGGUGGGGGCAUUAUACCAAGUUUCACGUGUGGUGAAUAUGGCAAUCCUUGCACAAGUGAUGAGUGAAUAUCAUUUCAUCAUCACUCAUAAAACUGCAUCAUCUCCUCCCGUAAUUCCUCCUCUUUUUGACUUUUUGAAAAAUAUUUAUUAAUUCAUACAGAUAAAUGGUUGGUAAAUUUUAAAAAACAAUUAUUAAAUGAGUUAUGAAUUCAAACAAUUAGAUUUGGCUUAUCCAUAAAGAAAAUCAAAACAUUAUAUUUAAAUAAAUGCUCUUUAAAGGAUAAUUAUGAAUCAGGUAAAUGUUGCGUUGUUGGCUAAAAGGGUAUGGACAGUCAUUUUGAGAGUAUUGACGUCACAUAAUGUUAUGUAUACAUAUAAUUUGUUCGUUUGAGUAGUUUAUACGGAACUUGGCGUAGUGAUAAAGUAAUUCGCUGGACAAGACAAUCUCUUAACUUGCAUCUCGGCUUCCAUUGCGGGAGUUUGGACAUUUUAAAUUCUUAGUUUUGGUAAUUUACAAGGAAGUCCUUGUAUAUGCAGAGAACUACUUUUAGUACCCGGUCCCAUUGCAGGACUUGCUCAUCAUUCAUCAUUCAUCAUUCAUCAUUCAUCAUUCAUCAUUCAUCAACUCCACCUUCAUCUUCAUCUUCAUCUCCACCCAUCAGUCAUUACCCAAAGGUGUCAACUCUUCACAUUUUAAAAGAGAGAUGUCUAUUUUACUCACAUUGAAUAAUGCCUUCACUUAAUUAUAAUAAGAAAUAAACCCCUACAUGCGUCGCAGCGGUCUACUUUACUCACAUUGAAUAAUGCAUUCACUUAAUUAUAAUAAGAAAUAAACCCCUACAUGCGUCGCAGGCCUCGAACCGCUGCCCUCACAGUUGUGAGAACAAGGCUCUGCCCACUUGACCAAAGGCCAAGUGGUUUUUUUUUUUAAAUUUCUAAAUGAUAGUCUAAUUGAUUUCACAUUUUACAAUAGAAAUAAUAGGUCAAGAGUAUAAAUGUACCGUAUGUAUUUAAUAUUAGGUGCAUGAAAUCCAUUUACAAAAAUCGGUAGCAAAUUUACAAUGACAGAAAAACAUUACCACAGGGAGAGGAGGGGACAUAGAAUAGAAGAUGAAUUUUAAUAAAUUAGUAUUUGAAAAAACAAAUGAAAAGUGGACCCAUUAGCAUUACAAAGCGUGGAAAAUAAUAAUGUGUCCGACAUUGCAAAUGCAACCUAACUUGCCACAUGCCCAACAAACGAACGAAACUGCAGAUUCCUUAAAGCAGCUAUAACGUCGGCUUUCCUAGAUUUUUAUAAUGUUUUUUUAUUUUUAUUUUUUUAAUAACAUCGUCCUCUCUUAAUUGAAUAAUAUUUCAUUUUUAUGAAUCCUCAUUGUCAUCGAACCUGUAACUACUACUACUAUGAUAGGUUAUGUCAUUGAUUAAUUAAACAUUGUCACCCCCAGUUGUAUCAGAGUGCAAGGACCACCUUUUUUUAUUUUUAUUUUAAUACAACAUAAAUUAGUGCUAAUUAAAUGUAUAAUCUUGUAUCAGUCAGGAACUUGUAAGAAGAGUGUUGCGUUGGAGGAUUUGUCUAAGAAUAUUAUGGUUGCCGGUAAUCUCACGUCUUGUAGGGAAUAUCAACUGUAUUUUAUAGGUGUACAAUUUUGGGUGGAAUUGAUAUAAUACAUAUGAUGAUACGAUAAUUAAGUUCAACUGAUAAAAAAAAGAUAAUGUAUAAUAAAAUCACACACAAACUUAAUUUAAUUCAAUAAUUGGAAUAAUAAACUAUGAUAAUUAUUUUGGUAGUUAGAGAAAAUUAGUGCUAAUUAUUUGUACAAUCUUCUAUGAAUUACAAAAUUUGCAAGAAGAGUGUUGUAGUUGGAGGAUUUGUUUAAAAAAUAAUAUGAUUGUUGGUAAUCUCACAUCUAGCAAGGAAUAUCAACCAUAUUUUAAAAUGGUACCAAUUAAGAGUCUAAUUUUAGGUGAAAUUGACAUAGUACAUACUAUGAUUAUAAUUCAAUUGAUAAAAAAUAAUACAUAAUAAUGUCGCACACAACUUAAGUUGAUUCAAUAAUGGUCAUUAUAAAAUAUUGUGGUAGUUAGAGAAAAUUAAUCCCAAUCAAGAAAAACAAAAAAGUUCAAUAAAAACAUCAAUGUUGCACAAAGAUGGUCAUAAUGCUCACAAAAUAAUGCCCUUGUGAAAUUAGUGCGCCUCAUCCUUUUAAAUACAAGCAGGGAGUAACAUCUACAAUUAUAAGAAAACUAGAAAAGUGAGAAAAUUAUUCAAUCUUGACUGAACAUCAAUGUCAUACACCAAAGAUUAAUUUUAAUGGACCAAUAGAACAUUGUAAGCGGAACCAAACAAAGAUAUGUCGGCAGGGUAAGAAAAUUGACACCUACAAUAAACAAAUUUAUUUGGAACCAACCAACCCAGUAAUCAUUCUACAAUUGUCAAUUUGUCAUCCGGGGCUUGCUUUUAUGGUGAGCUCUUGAGUCUUGAACAAUUGAUGAACAGAUUCACAUUUAGCCUGCUCCACAGUCCAUAGAAGUAGAACCCACCAAAAACUAUAAAGAAAUAUUAAAAAAAUAAAAGGCAUUUCAUUUUUAUAUACAAGCAUAUAAAGCAUUGGCCACUUUGACAAUCAAAGCUGGUUAAAAAAAAUGGACUGAAAAACAAAAAAGAAAGCAACACGCCCACCGUGGGGCUCGAACCCACGACCACAAGGUUAAGAGCCUUGCGCUCUACCGACUGAGCUAGACGGGCUCGGACGCUAAUCGUCGUUUUGUUUCUGUAUUAUAUAAGUAUUAAGGUCAACCCAACAGAUCAUAAGAGCCUAGUCUUGAAAAUACGUAGCCCCGCAACAGACGAGAAGAUAAAAGGAGAAGGUACACAUCAAUUCAAUCAGAGUUGUUGACCUACUUUGAUCGUUGAAAAUGUAUAAUAAAUAGAAAAUAUAAAAUUUUCAUAUGUUUGAAUAGAUUCAACGAGAAGUAAAACACGAAAAAUAAGACGUAUUUUAUACAUUUAGAUCCCCUAGAGAUAUAUUAUUGAUUAAGUUUCCGAUAGGAUGAGAUUUUAAUAUGAACUUUUGUACUACAUGUAUGAAUCAAAUGUCACAACGUAUAAGUGUGUGGAUUUACGCCUCUAUAAUUUGGAUAUUAAUCUUUUUGAUAUCUUUAGUGGUACGAUGACAAAAGAGUUUUCUUAUAUGAUUAGUUUACCAGUUCAUUUUCAUCAAGCAAGAGUGCUACAGCGCAAGUUAUUUUGUUAACUUGGGAAACAUCUGUCUCCACUUUUUGUGGUCUCGGCUUUCAUGUUCUAAGCAUCUUCACAGCCUAGGACAAGAGAAAUUACCUCUUCGGUUUUCCGUCGUCGUUAAUAUGGUAGUACUUCAUUUGGGUAUCUGUCUAUCUGAUAAUUUUACAUUUUCAAUUUUCAUUUGUGUAUGUAUAGUAAUGUGAUAGAAAAUACUUUACUUGCAUAUAUAGCAAAUGACGAAUCUAAUUCAGUUCCAAGUCUUAGAUGUUUCUCGACUCCACCGAGUUUUGGGCUUGUCUAUGAAGGCCCAUAUCAAUUUCGACGCGUAACACAGCCUGGGUCUGGGUCGCUGGUUUGAAGGAGAGAUUUGCACAUGAUAAUUAGAAGACUGGUUGAGAAGUGACCCAUGGAAGCUUUUUAAAAUUUCAAUUCUAAACUUUGAACAACCUCAAAAAAUUUUAUUACUCAUCCUCUUGUCAUUGUAUUUUUAAUUACAUAUUUAUUAACAUACCUUCGCGUAAUCGCGUUACCUAUAAAAAAAAAAAAAAAAUAUUACAUAAGGGAACCCCACGAGAAAAGAUAAACUAUCCUUUUACAUGUAAUUAUUCCAAAAUUCAGGGACUCAGAUGUUAUAUAUACCUCAUUCUAGAAGCCAGUCCCAGCUCCUUUUGCCGAGACCAGACACUUCAUACAUGUAAAGGAGUGAACAGAACACAAAGCAUCUACUUCGUCCACUUGCAAUUGAAUAAAUCUUUAUGUAAAUUUUCGUUACCUCCCCAACAGAAAACGUUUUCGAAAUCUACAGGCAACUGUUAACACACGUCCUGUGUGUUGUAUUUGUUCUUGUCCAAAAUUCUUAUCCCUCUCUUUAUUAGUCUUUCCCAUUAAGUAUGAGUGCGCGUGACUGUUCGUAAAAGAAAGCUAACGCGAGAUUUUUUUCUUAAAUAUAAAAGCUCAAGAUACAAAGAGAGUUACUUUUAUCAUGGCGACAAUCGUUAGCAGCAGCAGCUUCUUCUCGGUGUCUCUACCGGGUCGACUCGGUAACUCGCGACGGUGUUCUGUCAAACCCAAUCCUUCGCCGAUCUUUAUACGCAAGUUUGUUGCCAAAAUUCGGGCUUCUUCAACAGCCUUUAUCGAAACCAAACCAUCGGUAUGCGUGCAUUUCAGUUAUUUAUUAUGACAUGAAAUUAUAGUACAUGACCGUUCUUGUAAUGUAAAUUUUCAAUUGGGUGUGUUUAGGAGCCGAGUUUUGUUGAAAAUGAAGCAAGUACAAGCAAGAACGUAUUAGCUUGUCCCAUCUGUUAUAAACCUCUAACGUGGAUUGGUGAUUCAUCCUUGUCUAUGUGAGUUAUAUCAAAUUUUUUUUUUUUUUUUUAAUUUCUGUUGUUUGGUUGUUUCCUUUUGAGUUGGUUGAGUAUUAUUAUCACAGAGAAUCUGCAGCUGGGUCUAGUUUGCAAUGUAACACUUGUAAAAAGACUUACAGUGGCAUGGGAACUCAUUUUGAUAUGACUGCGGCUAGUGGGUCAAAAGAUUAUGGUGAAUUGAUGACUCCUACCACUGAAUUUUUCAGGUAUUGUGUAUUUCUGUUAUCAUUCACUUUAUGUAACUGCUGUGUCUCUGCUUAAUUUUUGAAAUCAUUGCGUUUGGUAACCCCCCAUUUUUAGUCGGCAAUUAGUAAUUUCAGUCCACUUCAGUGGUGGAUUGAUAAGCACAACACCUUAAUCCCUAACAUACCCAUAUUAAAUACUCUUAAGGCGAGCUUAAUUGGGUGUAAGUGAUGUUUCAAUGGGGAAUUAUACUCUAAUAAUCUACAAAUUUCCGUUGAUUUUUGUCUUCUAAUUCUAUACAUUUUGACGCUCACAUUUGGCAAUAUCAAGCAUUUUAAGAUUGUCCAAUACCAUGGCAUAUGUCUUACAUGACCCUUAUCCCAUCGAUUGAUCAUAUGUUGAAUCAGGAUGCCAUUCAUGUCAUUUAUCUAUGAGAGGGGCUGGCGUCAAAACUUUGUAUGGGGUGGUUUUCCAGGGCCAGAGAAGGAGGUGAUAUGACCUUUUCUCAGUUACAUUUUAUCUUUUAAUAUUUUCUUUUUCAAGGAUCUGAACAUUUUUGUCCUUCCUAUCAGUUGCAAUUUCAGCCCAUAGGGGCGAUGAUAAAUUGUUCUUAUAGAACUUAUGUAGAAUAAAUUGUUGAUUUUCAGGGCCAAUGUUUGCCAUUGCCAUUUCACAUUCUUCAUUUUCGUAGAGGUACUAACCAAUUAAUGGUUUUAACUGCAGUUUGAAUUGAUGAAGGGUUAUCUAAAGCCUGUUUUAGGUGGAAACAUCAUUGAUGCUAGCUGUGGUAGUGGGCUGUUUUCACGAAUUUUUGCUAAGAGUGGAUUGUUUUCUCUUGUUGUUGCUCUGGACUAUUCAGAGAACAUGCUGAAGCAAUGUUAUGAAUUUGUUCAGCAGGAAGCAAACUUUCCAAAAGAGUACGAGUAACUUUGAUUUGUCCUUCAUCCUAUAAUUUGAGAAUUUAAAUAUAUACCUUAUUGUGUAUUUUUCUUCUCUAUUAGGAAUUUUUUGUUGGUCAGAGCUGAUAUCUCUAGACUUCCAUUUGCUGCCAGUUCAAUUGAUGCAGUGCAUGCCGGUGCUGCUAUACACUGUUGGCCUUCGCCAUCAACAGGCGUAGGUGUUUUCUUUCAAGUAAACUUUGAUUAUCCAUGUUGUUGAAGAUUUAGCUGUGAGCUUUUAAGAGUUGGUGGCUAAAUUUUGUAGGUAGCUGAAAUAAGUCGAGUUCUACGACCUGGAGGAGUGUUUGUUGGCACCACCUACAUAUUCGAUGGGCCUUUUAAUCUUAUUCCAUUUUCAAGGCUUCUACGCCAGGUAUGUUUUCUUGACUUGAAAAUGGUUGGCUUCAGCAUACCUGUAUUAGGAUUUGAUGAUCUGAAAAGGAUAUUCAGACAGUUUCAAUUAGUUGUAAAUCUUAAGUUAUUCUAUGGGCACAUCCAACAUUACAUUGUUAAAAUCCCAAGUCUGUGUAACCUUCUAAACUAUGUAAAUUAAGGUUGUCAAGUUUUCUGUACAAGACAUGAAUGUAACUAAUUCUCGUGAAUAUUUAGUUGCUGAUGGUGGACAUCUUGUUUCUUGUACAGAACAUGAUGCAAAUAUCAGGCAGCUAUACUUUCCUAUCUGAAAGGGAAAUAGAAGAUCUCUGCAGAGCCUGCGGCCUGGUUGAUUUUAAAUGUACAAGGAACAGAGGUUUUGUUAUGUUUACUGCUACAAAACCCAGCCAAAAUUGACUGCCUAUCAGCAGUUGCUCUCCACUCUGCUCCGUGCUCUCAAAUUAUUGAGUCUACAAAAAAGCAGUUAUUGGACCAACUGUUUCAGAAGAUAAAUUAUUGUCUUUUGUGUUAAGAGAAUGCUUCGUGAUAUAGGAAUGUAGUGUGAAGGUUAGAGAAUGCUUGGUGAUAUAGGAAUAUAGUGUGAAGGUCUGUAAAGAUGAUACCACACACCAAUCAUUGGGUGCAUGGAAUAAAGGGAAGGCGAGUUCUUGUAACCUUUCCUACUUUUUUUUGUUAAUAUUCUUGAAGAGAUUAUUAAUUCAAAGAAUUGACCUCCAAAUCUUUUCCACUACUUCAAUUUUGAAAUGUUUUAGAUUAUUUUCAGUUACCCAUCAGCUUUGACCCUUUUGUCAAUUAGGGAUGCUCUGUUAUUUUAAAUUGUUAUACCUAGAAGUUGUCGGUUUGAAACUUCAAACCUGAAUUGAAAGUUUUGAAGAGUUAGUCAAGUCGAUUGAUCAUGGAAAAAUCGAUUUAAGGGGAUCCAAAAGAUAAACAAUAAAAAUAGAUAAGAGAAGGAUUUUAUAUUUUUUUUAUGGGUUUGUUACAAAGGGUCAGGAGGGUCCUUUGUGUUUGAUUGUAUCGUUCUGAAUACGUAUCUCAAAGUCUUCUAGUCAGAUUUUACCGCAAUGAUAUUCUCACAGGCAAUGAAUUUUCUCCAUCAUCAAGUUCUGCUAAUCAAUGUGACAAAUUAUGAGUCAACAAGAAGUUAAUUUAAACUUGUCUAAAGGAACUUAGAUUAAAAGCUUUAAUACACAAUAAGCCAUCAAUAUGUGGAUUCAUAAACAAAAUUUACCAAAAUCAUUAUCAUGUUAAUGGCAAACAGCAUUUCAGACGGGUAAUUCAACCACCACCAUCAGUUAUAAACUGUAUCCAAUUGAACGAUUUACAUGUCAGUGAAAUAAACAAUUGGUAUCACCAAGUCCUCAAAAUUCUAAGUUCUCAAAUUUCCUUUCAUGUGUCAAAUUUGUGUAUCAAAUUCAUCCGUCCCCCACCACAACCCCCCAAAGUUUCCCACCCCAAUUCAAGACUUAAACCCCACUUUACUGUACAGUAUAACGAAUUGGCGGUGAAGUUUGUAACAGGGAAAAAAAAAAAAAGGGUACCUAUAAAGACAUUGAUUUCACAAAGCAGUGGGUUCUUGUUUUCUUCUUUCUAAUUGUAAUUUCCUGCUAAAAAUCUGAACAAACCUCCUAUACUCAGUAUAGACCUAAAUGAAAUUUUUCACUUUCAUCACAAUCUAUGGAAUCCCCCAUCAUUAGCGCCAAGAGCUGGAUGCAGAGAUGACUUGGUUGGCAGAGUCAGAUUCGGCUCCUUUGGUUUGAAGUUCAGCUAAAGUAGAAUGGACUACCUGCAGAAAUCCAAUUCAUCCCAUCAUAGCCAUCAAGUUAAAAGCAUCUCACUAUUCACCUAAAUUGGAGAAUGUCAACUGUCGGUAAAGCAAUAUCUUCUCAUCAUUAUCAUCAAGAUCGAGACCAUCUUCAUCGUCAUAAUCCAUUUCAAUAACAGUUCUAUUCUUAACAGAGAGUACUUCGGAUUCAGAGAACUGAACAUGGGAGUAUUCUACACCAGCAGGCAAAUUACUGGACUCUAAUUGUUGCAUCUCUGAUUCAAUAAGUGCUUCCAUCCUAGCUCGCUCCCUGUCUCUUGGAUAGGUGCUAUAUAAGAAUGAAUAUAUGAAACAACAGAGAGCCAUAGGAAUUCCUAUUGCUGUGUAAAGUGCCUUGGCCAAUGACGCAGCAUUCGCCCUAUCUGUGGCAAUCUCUUCAGUUGCACUGGAUCCUUUAGGAAUAGGUUUAAAGCCAUAAACAUGCUGAGCCAGUAUCCCGACUACAGGAGGUGCAAAUGAUGAUAGUAUGGACUCAAAAGAUCGGUCCAUAGCAUAGACACUAGUUCGGGACUUCUCAGGUACUAUCUCUGCAAAAAUUGGACUGCAUAAACACAUUGCAAAUGAUUAGUCAACAACAUGUCUCCAAAAUUUUGCAAAAAUUUGAUUUUAAUGCAAUUAAUAUUUAGCGAAUUUGAUUGUAACAAAAGGAAGAACAAUUUUAUGAGAGUCUAUACUUGUUUGUGGCUGGAGCAUUCCAGGAUAUGAACAAUCCCGUGACGACCAAGACCAAACCAUGCAUCACUGGUGUGGAUGGAUCAUCCGGUAAAACCAGGAGAAGUAAAGCUGCUAGAGGGAUGGCUGAUAAUGAGCUAAUUUGUGCUAGAAUUAUCCUUCCAGAAUUUGGGAAUCGUGCAGAAAGGAAAUCUCCCAUCCUGCCUCCAAACAGUCCUCCAAGGGAACUGGCAAUUACAAACAAUGCCAUCAGGAAUGCAGUUUUCUCGUGGGAGAAUCCAGUAAGCUCUAACCACAUUGCGGCAAAUGACAGAGCUGACCAGGGGAAUGAACCUGUGACACCCUGAGCCACAAUAAUCUGGAAAGAUGGAAUUUUAAUUACAGACUUGGCUUCCUGAAUCAGAACCUUUACGUCUGACCUGAAUGAUUUACUUGAAACCUGAUCACUGUUUGCUGUACCACCAUCUGGAAAGUGUGGAUCAUUUGCAAAGAGGCGGACUAAAGUUCCUACCACGACGCUGAUUAGGCCAACAAUAUGGAAGGAAAUCCGCCAACCAGGAAUUCCCAUGAAUGUCAUUGGAGCCAUCACAACUGAAAAGAGUCCACCAACAAGUGAACCAAUGUUGCUGGUUAGCUGUAGCCAUCCAAAAGCCACACCACGGUUGCUAUCAUCAGUUGAAUCAGCAACAAGAGAUUGGAUUGCAGGUGCAACCAAUGCAAGGCCAAUGCCAUUCAGAGCUCUAGAGAUGGCCACCUGCUCAAAAGAAGUUGAAUAACUUAUGAUGAAUAUGAUUAACUAGGGUGUCGUAGGUAAUAUGGCUUCUCGUAUGUACUAUUUAUAGUUCAUUAAUGUGCUUAGUGGCAAUCAAACCCUAACAUAUGGAAAGAAUGUAUUCAGAGAUUUUGUAUAAUCCUUACAGCAUAUUAUGUUAAUGUUUAGUGACCGGAAGUUGUUAGGUCCACAACAACAGAUAGUAAUAGUAUACACUAUCGCAUUGGUCCAAUCAUACUGAUUCACAAAGGUUUCUUUGCUGAUACUGAUCUUCUAAAUUAUUAACCAGCUCGUCCCAAGCUAUUCAUAUUUCUUUCUGCCUGCGUACUUUUAUAUGCAACAUCACCUCUAGGCCUGAUUCUGAAAUCCAUGCACCUGAGACUUUUCCCUUAGUUCUCUCGGUAUGCUAUUCUUAUAAUGGCCUUUCAGUUCUCAAUGAACCAUUGGGAAUAACAGAAAGGAAGUUCAUUUUUGAGAAACCAAAACCUUAAAAUUAUAUUCUUUGCUUCUUCUUCUCCACUUUAUACUCUAAUCUAGGAUCUAUCCUCCCAUUUGUCUUGUUAUCAUUGACAGUGCCUAAUUUAUGCAGAUUCUCUUCCGAAACUCUUCCAGAGCACAAUAUUCCUCCAAGAAUAUAACACAUUGGGGCUUGAAAUGACUUAUUUAUUUUUUCUCUUUUAGAAAAGCUUCCUUAUAUUCUUAUCCUGUUUUUGGUUUAUAGACCAAGGUGACCAGAUUCUUAUCUUAGAUCAAACAUUUCACAUUCAGAAACUCUAAACAAACUAAAACAUAAUACCAAGAAAGACAUUUUCCUCGUCAUUUGUUCUACUAAAUAGCAAAUAAUAUUACAAUAAAGAUACGCACGAAACUUAACAAAUACCUUUUAUCAAUUCUUACUCCACCUAGUAAUCAAAUCGACAAUCAAGCAAACCAUUCGACCGUCACCACAUAGAACAAUAGAAUCAAACCCUAUUCUAUUAGUACAUUCCAACUUCCAAUUCAAUGGCUUAUAAAAUUAAAAGUAAAAGUAAAAGCACAAGGAAAACCAGGCCUCAAUCGAUUCAAUUCUAGAAAAUUUUCCAAGUCGACUAGGACUUCCUAUUCCAUUUCACAAAGCCAAAACCAUAAUUACAGGUCCCGUAAUUCCUUACUUCUAAUUAAUUUUCCCAUGCAUCAAGCAAGUCAGAAACAGUUCUAUCCAAAAUAAUAGGGAAAAAAAAUUCGAUUUAAACUUCAUAUUUCGAUUUAUUUGGCUGAACCUGAGCGAAAGUGGAGGAGAAGGCAACAAGGAAAGUUGCAGCAGCCCAGAGAAAGGCGCCGAGGGCGAUGACAUGGGCUCGGUUAUGACGGAUCGCCAAGUAAGCCGCAAUUGGGUAGCAAGAAGCCUGCACAAUGGACCUGAACAAAGUCAAAGAACCUAAUCCAGUUGGGUCCGUGUGAAGGGCAGCUCCCACUUCUUUGUAAACUCCAGGCAACAACGAUUCAUCAGCUCUCUCCAUGAUCCCAGCUAAGUUCACAAGAACCAGCGUUACCGUUUCCUGUUUCAUUCUCCUGUUUGCCUUUGGUCUAUUCUUCGUCUUCGUCUUCGUUUUCGUUUUCGUUUGUGUAGGUAGAAGAAGAAGAGGCUUAUUGCUGCCUACAAAGUGGUCUUGUUCGUUUUGCUUCAAAUUUUAAGAGCAAUAAUAGUAUUUAGAUCCAUAAAUUAUUCUAAAUUCCCAAAUUAGGAUAUAACUUUCCAUUUGUAUGAAAUAAGUCCCUAUCUUAGUAUCUUUUCUUAUUUCUAUAGUGGGGUUUAGACUUCAGGCCGUUCAGUUCGCGGUUGCAGGUACUUAUUUGAUAUAAAUUAUGUUGUUAGAUGAGAAAAUGUUCAAAUUUGGGGGAUAUGGAUUACUGUUAGCGGUUUUAUACUUUUACUUUCAAGCAAUGGAUUAUGGAUAACGACUGCAUCUGCAUGGUCAGUCGGUCAAUGACAGGUGGCGGCAUUUAUGGGGGCAAUAUUGGCAAAUAAACGGACGUUUGAGAGUGUGGUACGUGUAACAACGCAAAAAUGGUGGCGGAUUCAGACAAUUCCUUUGAUUGCGGUCAGCAAUUGUAUCGAGUGAAUAUAUAUAUAUAUAUAGAUAGGCUGACGCUAAAUUACAUUAAACGUAAUUUAUAUUUCUCAUAAUAAUAAUAUCCGAUUUCACAAGUGAUACUGUUACGGUAAGAGGGCGUAGGUGGCGUAAGUUACGUUAAGAGAUUGUAUUGUCUUCUUUCUUGGAGAUGCGUAGGAAUUCUGCAAAAUCACGGAUUAUGAAGUGGUGAGUUUUAAAUUGUGAAAGCGACGGAGAGGUCGCAAUCUAGUACACGAUCGCUGAGGGGACGGGGGUGGAUGCAUAUGAUUAUAUGUCCGUACAGUUUACACGAGUGAGAGGGCAGCAUCACCGCCUCCACUCCACAUGGGCUCCGCCACACCACCCACUUUUUAAGUUUUAAUCAUGAUCUUUCCCUCAUCUUCCACAUGGAUUUCCUCAUCCGACCCUACGCGUGGAUCCUUGCUCCUCGAUUCCCGCCUUUGCCGCUCUUGAUGUCCUUCUCACACGUGCAUUCUUCUCCUUUGGGCAUAUGAUCUGGCACUGACGUAGUUUUUACGUCACGCCGUCAGUGACAGCUCCGACACUAGAGUGCCCUUUGCCAUUUUUCCCAGUUUUACCGUUAAUAAUUACCGGGCAACUAAUUCAUGUUAAUUUUUUUUUAACACCUCUAUUACAAUCAAAUUUUAAUUCAUAUUGUACGAGAAUACUACUCAGAUUUACUCCUACAAUACUUUUGUUGGGAUUCAAAUUGUUACCCUCACAACAGACCACUCCGCCAAAAGACCGAGUCAUGUUAAGUUUGUUUGAUUGUUUUAUGUUUUAUUAUAAUUAUUAUGAUAAGGUAAAUGAUACUCAUCCAUCUUAAAGGUGAGGGGAGAGCGAUAAAAAACGAUACCCCUACAGUUGUUUUCGUUGCCCAUAUUUUAUGGGAAAACCAAAAAUAAUAAGUGGGCGACAAAAAUAGCAUCAGGGGAUGCCGCUUAUGUUGCCCUCCUGGUAUUAUAGGCGAGUAAUUGAGUAUCAAUGUUUUUAUGAUAAAUAUUAUAAUUUUAGUAGGAUCUCAAAAAUUAAUAGUCCUGGUACAUUAAAAAAUUUAUUAAUUUAAUGAAUGAUAAUUAAUAAUUUGUUAAUUUAUAAAAAAAUCACAGGCAUAUUAUGAAUUUUUAUAAAGUAUAGAGUCAAUAUAAUUAAAGAAUGUAUUCUGCUGUACGGCCAAGGCGGAUGUACGGUACAGCAGGUUCCAGCGUAUACUGCUUUUAAGUUUUAACAUUCUCCGGUUUUGUGUGAAUUGGGACAGAAGUUGCCAAAACGAGUUAGUAGAAGAAUGCUUUUGUUGCCACUUGGUUUUGUAGUCCAGUGAUAAAUUAUUGCCCUCAAAAUUAAGUAUGAUUAUGAGGGCAAUGGUUUGAGUCCCCAUGGACUCAACUUUUCUCAAUUAAACAUAAUUAUAUAGAGACUUCUUAUAACGUCUUUCUCCCUUGCGAAAUACAAGUGGAAUAGAGAUAUCUCUCCUCCGUGAGGGGUAUUUAGAUGAGCAUGUAUUUUAUAGAAUAAAAAUGUAAUAAUAUAAGUCUCAUGUAUAUAUCGGAUUGUAAAUAUCAGUGUAAUGACCUACUUUCAUAGCAGUUAUAUAUAUCUAUGUGUAAUACAGUAACCUGAUACUUAAUUAGUUCAAAAAAAAAAAAAGAAUGCCUUUGUUAAUGUUUUGUUGAUCGUUGGAAGUUCCAAAAUCCCUUUUCCCUGCAUGCAAAACGCGUUGUGUAAGAUUCAUAUAGUAACAAUUUCGACAUUGGAAAUUCUUUACCACUUCAAAUUUUUUUUUUUUUCCUCUUUUAACAUUGUGUACAGAAUAAAGAACACACUUGGGAUGCUGCUGUAGUUUCUUGGAACUGGGCGUAUGAUUAACCAGAAAAAAAGGAAGUAGCAUUGGCCCAAGCUCAAUUGCUUAGCCUUUGUAUAAAUGUUUAUUAUAUGUCCAUGCCCAUACGAACUGGGUACGUCCUUUAGAUAUGGGUCAAUCAGUGACAAAUUUUGACAACUGGGCCGUCUAAAUUGCCUCGUAUAAUGAUGUGAAAGAAGAUUCUGUUUUUGGGCUCCGCCUACUUCUACUUUUACUCCCUCCCUAGAUACUACGGUGUAGGUUUCUAAACAUGCUCGAGUUUGCGUGACUCUUAGGUUUGUCCUUUCAAUAAUAUUAAAAAAAAAGGGACACCUUAGCUUUUGUCUUGUAGCCCAUUGGCUGGUUCGAGCCCCAACGAGGACUUUUUACUUUCAUUUAAAAAAUAUAUUAUCUUUAAGAUACUAUUGGUGUGGGAAUAAAUUUUCGAGUUGGUCCAUCUCUAUAUUUUUUUAAUAAAUUUUUGCAUUUAGAUUCUCUCGACCGCAACAAAAAUCAUAGUUUAUCAGCAAUUGUAUCGAGUGAAUAUAUAUAUAUAUAUAGAUAGGCUGACGCUAAAUUACAUUAAACGUAAUUUAUAUUUCUCAUAAUAAUAAUAUCCGAUUUCACAAGUGAUACUGUUACGGUAAGAGGGCGUAGGUGGCGUAAGUUACGUUAAGAGAUUGUAUUGUCUUCUUUCUUGGAGAUGCGUAGGAAUUCUGCAAAAUCACGGAUUAUGAAGUGGUGAGUUUUAAAUUGUGAAAGCGACGGAGAGGUCGCAAUCUAGUACACGAUCGCUGAGGGGACGGGGGUGGAUGCAUAUGAUUAUAUGUCCGUACAGUUUACACGAGUGAGAGGGCAGCAUCACCGCCUCCACUCCACAUGGGCUCCGCCACACCACCCACUUUUUAAGUUUUAAUCAUGAUCUUUCCCUCAUCUUCCACAUGGAUUUCCUCAUCCGACCCUACGCGUGGAUCCUUGCUCCUCGAUUCCCGCCUUUGCCGCUCUUGAUGUCCUUCUCACACGUGCAUUCUUCUCCUUUGGGCAUAUGAUCUGGCACUGACGUAGUUUUUACGUCACGCCGUCAGUGACAGCUCCGACACUAGAGUGCCCUUUGCCAUUUUUCCCAGUUUUACCGUUAAUAAUUACCGGGCAACUAAUUCAUGUUAAUUUUUUUUUAACACCUCUAUUACAAUCAAAUUUUAAUUCAUAUUGUACGAGAAUACUACUCAGAUUUACUCCUACAAUACUUUUGUUGGGAUUCAAAUUGUUACCCUCACAACAGACCACUCCGCCAAAAGACCGAGUCAUGUUAAGUUUGUUUGAUUGUUUUAUGUUUUAUUAUAAUUAUUAUGAUAAGGUAAAUGAUACUCAUCCAUCUUAAAGGUGAGGGGAGAGCGAUAAAAAACGAUACCCCUACAGUUGUUUUCGUUGCCCAUAUUUUAUGGGAAAACCAAAAAUAAUAAGUGGGCGACAAAAAUAGCAUCAGGGGAUGCCGCUUAUGUUGCCCUCCUGGUAUUAUAGGCGAGUAAUUGAGUAUCAAUGUUUUUAUGAUAAAUAUUAUAAUUUUAGUAGGAUCUCAAAAAUUAAUAGUCCUGGUACAUUAAAAAAUUUAUUAAUUUAAUGAAUGAUAAUUAAUAAUUUGUUAAUUUAUAAAAAAAUCACAGGCAUAUUAUGAAUUUUUAUAAAGUAUAGAGUCAAUAUAAUUAAAGAAUGUAUUGAUUUCGUCAAACCAUCUUAUACAAUUUUGAUUUAAUACUGCUUGAGUGAAUUAGUCACUUAACAAUCCUUUGACUGGAUCAUAAUUAUAUAGUAACUUAUCAUAUAAAAUUUUUUUGAGGCAUUAUAUUAAGCGAUUAUCUUUCUUAUUUCUCUUAACAUGGUAUAUGGAAUACAAAUUGACAUUUUAUCUUAAAGGUAUAAAGAUGUGUAAAGCAUUAUAUAAAUAUAAUAAAGAAAAUCAUAAAACAUGUCGUAUGUAUUUAUUUCAAAUUAGUUAACUAUUAAUUUAUGUAUUGAUGUGUAAUAUCCAAGCAUGUCUUUUAACAAAGGGUAGUUUAUAUGUAGUUUUAAUUUAAGGAACAUGUGCAUGUUGUUUAUGUCUUUGAAACGGUUCUUAACUUCUCUUUUAUAAUUGUUUUUAACUUCUCUAUUUAAGAAACUUAAGCCACCAGUUGCAAAUUUUUAUUUUCAUCAGUCCUUUAAUGCAUAGGUUUUUCUCAAACAAUUUUAAGAAUUGUUUCCUGCACUCUCAGUUUCAGUAAGUAAAUUCUUCUUUUUAAUUGUUGAUAUUAUGAGCAUGGGAAAUGGAUAUAUGCUUGAUCUUGGAAGUGUUUUGAAAAUAAAAUAUUUCUUUAUAAAAAUUAAAAUCUGAAUUUUGAUUGCUUUAGAAUAAUUCUUUUACUUUAUUAUAAAUUCUACAUGGCCAUUGGAUGAAGUUAUAGCUACUAAAAUUGUUGGAGUUAGAGUUUAAUAGUUUGAGUGUUGUUGGAGACGUGAUGAGCCCUGUAUUGUUUGCUAAUUAGAAUGCCAAAUUGUUGUCUGAAAGAUAAAAUUCUGAAUUGUGGGUAUAGUUAAAUACACGUAUGAAAAA
rnacentral:lncRNA from 1 species